AUCUAGUGUUGCUAUUAAGCUUUAAUUUAGGAAUAAUGUGUUUGUUAAGCAUAAGUACCAACACUAGUUGAUCCUAUUGAUGACAAAAUUGAUUUUCUUGCAAGAUCGAUUUGUGUCCAUCUAGUGUUGCUAUUAAGCUUUAAUUUAGGAAUAAUGUGUUUGUUAAGCAUAAGUACCAACACUAGUUGAUCCUAUUGAUGACAAAAUUGAUUUUCUUGCAAAGUCGAUUUUUGUCCAUCUAGUGUUGAC
rnacentral:lncRNA from 1 species